rnacentral:rRNA from 1 species
CCUACGGGUGGCUGCAGUGGGGAAUAUUGGACAAUGGGCGAAAGCCUGAUCCAGCCAUGCCGCGUGUGUGAAGAAGGCCUUCGGGUUGUAAAGCACUUUCAGUGGGGAAGAAAGCCUUGGGGCUAAUACCCUCGAGGAAGGACAUCACCCACAGAAGAAGCACCGGCUAACUCCGUGCCAGCAGCCGCGGUAAUACGGAGGGUGCGAGCGUUAAUCGGAAUUACUGGGCGUAAAGCGCGCGUAGGCGGUCUGAUAAGCCGGUUGUGAAAGCCCCGGGCUCAACCUGGGAACGGCAUCCGGAACUGUCAGGUGAGAGUGCAGGAGAGGAAGGGAGAAGGCCCGGUGUUGCGGUGAAAUGCGGAGAGAUCGGGAGGAAUACCAGUGGCGAAGGCGGCCUUCUGGACGGACACUGACGCUGAGGUGCGAAAGCGUGGGUAGCACACAGGAUUAGAUACCCGAGUAGUC